UUUUUUUGUUUUAAUGUUUUAGACAGUUGCCGGAUUUGGAAAUAUUCCAAAUCUGGACAUACCAGGUUUGGCAGUGCCAAAUUGGGCAUGAUGUGACUUAUAAGUGAAUUGUAAUUGUAGGUGGUUUUUAUUUUCAGUUUUUUCGUAUUUUUAUGCAUGCAAGUAUAUGAGUCUGAUAUAUGGAUUUGGGGUAGAAAACCCCAAGGAAUCCAAUGUCAGCAUUCCGGGAAUG
rnacentral:lncRNA from 1 species